rnacentral:rRNA from 1 species
GACGAACGCUGGCGGCGUGCCUAACACAUGCAAGUCGAGCGAUGAAGUUUCUUUCGGGAAAUGGAUUAGCGGCGGACGGGUGAGUAACACGUGGGUAACCUGCCUCAUAGAGGGGAAUAGCCUCCCGAAAGGGAGAUUAAUACCGCAUAAUAUUACAGUUUCGCAUGAAACAGUAAUUAAAGGAGUAAUCCGCUAUGAGAUGGACCCGCGGCGCAUUAGCUAGUUGGUGAGGUAACGGCUCACCAAGGCGACGAUGCGUAGCCGACCUGAGAGGGUGAUCGGCCACAUUGGGACUGAGACACGGCCCAGACUCCAACGGGAGGCAGCAGUGGGGAAUAUUGCACAAUGGGGGAAACCUUGAUGCAGCAACGCCGCGUGAGUGAUGACGGUCUUCGGAUUGUAAAGCUCUGUCUUUGGGGACGAUAAUGACGGUACCCAAGGAGGAAGCCACGGUUAACUACGUGCCAGCCGCCGCCGUAACAC